UACGUAGGGGGCUAGCGUUGUCCGGAAUCAUUGGGCGUAAAGAGCGUGUAGGCGGUCCGGUAAGUCCGCUCUGAAAGCCCGGGGCUCAACCCCGGGAGGCGGGCGGAUACUGUCGGGCUAGAGUCCGGAAGAGGCGAGUGGAAUCCUGGUGUAGCGGUGAAAUGCGCAGAGUAUCAGGAGGAACACCAAUGGCGAAGGCAGCUCGCUGGGACGGUACUGACGCUGAGACGCGAAAGCGUGGGGAGCGAACAGG
rnacentral:rRNA from 1 species